rnacentral:lncRNA from 1 species
CAUGGAUUCCCAAGAUGUGAGCUUUUUACAUAAUGAAAGAACCCAGCAAUUCUGUCUCUUAAUGCAAUGACACUAUUCAUAGACUUUGAUUUUAUUUAUAAGCCACUUGCUGCAUGACCCUCCAAGUAGACCUGUGGCUUAAAAUAAAGAAAAUGCAGCAAAAAGAAUGCUAUAGAAAUAUUUGGUGUUUUUUUUUUUUUAAACAUCCACAGUUAAGGUUGGGCCAGCUACCUUUGGGGCUGACCCCCUCCAUUGCCAUAACAUCCUGCUCCAUUCCCUCUAAGAUGUAGGAAGAAUUCGGAUCCUUACCAUUGGAAUCUUCCAUCGAACAUACUCAAACACUAUUGGACCAGGAUUUGAGUCUCUGCAUGACAUAUACUUGAUUAAAAGGUUAUUACUAACCUGUUAAAAAUCAGCAGCUCUUUGCUUUUAACAGACACCCUAAAAGUCUUCUUUUCUACAUAGUUGAAGACAGCAACAUCUUCACUGAAUGUUUGAAUAGAAACCUCUACUAAAUUAUUAAAAUAGACAUUUAGUGUUCUCACAGCUUGGAUAUUUUUCUGAAAAGUUAUUUGCCAAAACUGAAAUCCUUCAGAUGUUUUCCAUGGUCCCACUAAUUAUAAUGACUUUCUGUCUGGAUCUUAUAGGAAAGGAUACUUUCUUUUUUCUUCCAUCUUUCCUUUUUAUAUUUUUUACUUUGUAUGUAUAACAUACAUGCCUAUAUAUUUUAUACACUGAGGGUAGCCCAUUUAUAAAUUAAGAGCACAUUAUAUUCAGAAGGUUCUAACAGGGCUGGUCUUAAGUGAACCACUGUGUAUAUAAAUAUGUUGGAAAACAGCUGUAUACAUUUUUGGGCAACGGUUAUGCAUAAUAUUUACCAGGAGAAUUUUUUUCUUAACAAGCCAACAUUUAAAAU